AUAAACGCUGGCGGCGUGCUUAACACAUGCAAGUCGAACGGAGUACUCUCCAGAGACCGAAGAAGCUUGCUUCUGAAGAAUCAUUGAAGUACUUAGUGGCGGACGGGUGAGUAACGCGUGGGUAACCUGCCUCACACAGGGGGAUAACAGUUGGAAACGACUGUUAAUACCGCAUAAGCGCACAGUAUCGCAUGAUACAGUGUGAAAAACUCCGGUGGUGUGAGAUGGACCCCGCGUCUGAUUAGCUAGUUGGUGAGGUAACGGCCCACCAAGGCGACGAUCAGUAGCCGGCCUGAGAGGGUGUACGGCCACAUUGGGACUGAGACACGGCCCAAACUCCUACGGGAGGCAGCAGUGGGGAAUAUUGCACAAUGGGGGAAACCCUGAUGCAGCGACGCCCGCGUGAGUGAUGAAGUAUUUCGGUAUGUAAAGCUCUAUCAGCAGGGAAGAUAAUGACGGUACCUGACUAAGAAGCACCGGCUAAAUACGUGCCAGCAGCCGC
rnacentral:rRNA from 1 species